rnacentral:misc_RNA from 1 species
CAGCUGCGUUAAUUAAUGUGAAUUGCAGGACACAUUGAACAUCGAAAUCUUGAACGCAUAUGGCGGCCUCGGGCAAUCCGGAGGCCACGCCUGUCUCAGGGUCGGUUGAACGUCGAUCGCGAGAAGCAGUUUGCUCGCGCAGUGGAUGGCAAGGCACUGCAUUCCGAGGUCGUUAGGCAUCCACGUCGCAACGCAGGCGACAGCAACGUGAUGCCGAAACGACCGUGCCACGUUGUCCCAAUGGUAGACGGACCGUCUUCGCCUUUUCGACUGCACGUCGAAUCGGUAGCUCGACUUGCUGCAUUAGGAGAGCUACUCGUCUUUCGUUUGUGCAGGAGAAACGCAUCCGGUGAGGCUG